CUGCGGCGAGCUCCUCGAGGGAGGAGGGUGCGGGGGCAGGAGACGGCGACGGCGACGGUGCCGGGUCGGCGGCCGGCGGAGAAGGCUCCUCCACCGUGGGUCCGGGCUGGCUCUGGUCUUGGCCCAUCGACGGUCGGCUAAGCACAGCAGGUAGAGCGAGUUCAGGAGGCGGCCACUCUCGUCUCGGGCGACCGGCGGCGAAGCGAGAGAGCAAGAGCGACCGGCGGCGUGAGCGGUCAAGUCGCCCGACGUCUAAUUAGGCACACCACUUUGGAACUUGGAAGCCAAUUUGGACCCCGA
rnacentral:lncRNA from 1 species